UGUAUGAUGAAUGAUGUUCUUUAAAUGUUUUGGUUGUGAUGAAUAUGGAAAGGAAUUGAAUUUGAUUUUGUUGUACGUGUUUUUGGUCAAAAAUGAAAGGUUUCAUAGGUGAGCUUGUGAGUUAGGGGUUAGAAUGAUUAAAUAUAGUUUUAAAGGAUAAUUAGAAGUGAAUCAAGUCUUGUUAAAACUAUUAAUUAGAGGAAAUUUGAUCUAAGAAGAGUUAGUAAUGCUUUGAUGGUGUGUUGGUUGAUUUUAAGUUCAAAUUAUGGAGUUUUGAUUAGUGAAAUUGAGGAAUAGGUAUAGGGGUGAGAUAAUAACUGAUUUAGUACUGUUAGGAGGUUAAUUGGGACUUGUUAGAAGUGUUAGAGGAUUGAAAAUUGAUAUGUAGCAAUGAGAUGGUUCAUGGUUGGAAUUUUCAAGUGCUUUUUGGUAUAAAAAGGGGGUUUUGAGUAGUGAGAUUUUGAGGUAAGUGUUAUGAACUGUUUUAGGCAGUUUGAGAUAUGUUAUGAGGUCAAUUAAGACUUGCCUAGAGGUUUACAUCAGAAAAAUAUGUUAUGGAAGUGUUAAUUGCAUCAUAGUUUAAGUUUCCUACUUCGUGUUGGAGGAUUUAGGUGUUGGAAAUGGAAAGUGGAGUAGCUGGGGUGAAACUGAAGUAUUAAGGGGUGCUAACAAGUAUAUUUAGACUUGUUUAUGCAGUUUGUAAUAUAAUAUGGGGGUGGAAAGAGUAUAAUUGAAAUUGGGCAACUUUUAGGAGUGAAUUCGGAUUUUAAAGUGUCAAAAGUGGUUUGAUACUCCUAGUGUUGGAUCUAGUGAUCAAAUGGAUGUUUGUUUUAACUUACAAACGUGUUUUCCCAUCAAUACAAAUGUGUAAAGAACCCCUUUAGUCAUUAGAACAGGUUCCAAGUGCAUCAAAAGCCAAUUUUCAUGGUUACUAUCAACUGGUAUGGCACCCCAGCGCCCCUUGUCAAGCCCGAGCGCCCCUGGGUGCACCAACAUACUGUUGUGUUUGUUUUUUAUAGUUUUUGGGGUUCCAGAUGUCUGUUUUGGAUGUUCUUUAUGUCAUUUUGGGGGGUUUUAGACCCUUCUGGAACUGUUGGUGAUGGUUUCAAAGCCAUUUUCUUUGUCUAAGUAUGCAUUUACGGGGUUUUGUGUUGUUUAGUGGUUCUUCUAGGACUAUUAUUGUUUGUUAAUGUAUAUGGAAUGAUUUCAUGGGAUUUUUGAUGACUUGUUGGGCUGUUUGUGGUAUUUUGAAGUAUAAUUAAUAUUAUAUAUAUCUUUUUAUUAUUAGAAUGGUGUAGAAGUAUCUAUGAUAUUGUAUGAUCAUGUAUUGUAGUAUAUGGUUGUUCAUGUCUUGAAUUAAGUUUUAAAGUGAAAGUAUGAACUGGAC
rnacentral:lncRNA from 1 species